rnacentral:rRNA from 1 species
AUUGAACGCUGGCGGCAUGCCUUACACAUGCAAGUCGAACGGCAGCGCGGGAGCAAUCCUGGCGGCGAGUGGCGAACGGGUGAGUAAUAUAUCGGAACGUGCCCAGUAGUGGGGGAUAGCCCGGCGAAAGCCGGAUUAAUACCGCAUACGACCUACGGGUGAAAGGGGGGGAUCGCAAGACCUCUCGCUAUUGGAGCGGCCGAUAUCAGAUUAGGUAGUUGGUGGGGUAAAGGCCUACCAAGCCUGCGAUCUGUAGUUGGUCUGAGAGGACGAACAGCCACACUGGGACGGAGACACGGCCCAGACUCCUACGGGAGGCAGCAGUGGGGAAUUUUGGACAAUGGGCGCAAGCCUGAUCCAGCAAUGCCGCGUGCAGGAAGAAGGCCUUCGGGUUGUAAACUGCUUUUGUCAGGGAAGAAAUCCUCUAGGCUAAUACCUUGGGGGGAUGACGGUACCUGAAGAAUAAGCACCGGCUAACUACGUGCCAGCCGCCGCCGUAAAAC